rnacentral:rRNA from 1 species
GGUGAGUAAUGCUUAGGAAUCUGCCUAUUAGUGGGGGACAACAUUCCGAAAGGAAUGCUAAUACCGCAUACGCCCUACGGGGGAAAGCAGGGGAUCUUCGGACCUUGCGCUAAUAGAUGAGCCUAAGUCAGAUUAGCUAGUUGGUGGGGUAAAGGCCUACCAAGGCGACGAUCUGUAGCGGGUCUGAGAGGAUGAUCCGCCACACUGGGACUGAGACACGGCCCAGACUCCUACGGGAGGCAGCAGUGGGGAAUAUUGGACAAUGGGCGCAAGCCUGAUCCAGCCAUGCCGCGUGUGUGAAGAAGGCCUUUUGGUUGUAAAGCACUUUAAGCGAGGAGGAGGCUACCGAGAUUAAUACUCUUGGAUAGUGGACGUUACUCGCAGAAUAAGCACCGGCUAACUCUGUGCCAGCAGCCGCGGUAAUACAGAGGGUGCGAGCGUUAAUCGGAUUUACUGGGCGUAAAGCGUGCGUAGGCGGCUUUUUAAGUCGGAUGUGAAAUCCCUGAGCUUAACUUAGGAAUUGCAUUCGAUACUGGGAAGCUAGAGUAUGGGAGAGGAUGGUAGAAUUCCAGGUGUAGCGGUGAAAUGCGUAGAGAUCUGGAGGAAUACCGAUGGCGAAGGCAGCCAUCUGGCCUAAUACUGACGCUGAGGUACGAAAGC